UAAUCGAUUAUUUCUGUCCAGAUUUGAAAGACAUGUUUAAAAUUCAUUUUGGCUAAAAUGAAAAUGUUUGAAAAUCAUUUUGUUUUAAAACAAAGAUGCAUGGUUUGAUGAAAAUGAUUUUACGAGAGAAGCCAAAGACUUGAAUCUAUUGUUGGAUCAAGAUCACAAUAUAAAACGACUCAUGUAUUUCUUCGUUGCUUUUCUUGAUCUUGUUCUUUGUUUCUCUUGUGCUUGGACUUCGGCAUAUGUCAAUGUUCCAUGCGCAUCGGUUUGUCAUUUAUCAAAACCUACAUUUGUUGGAUCAAGAUCACAAUAUAAAACGACUCAUGUAUUUCUUCGUUGCUUUUCUUGAUCUUGUUCUUUGUUUCUCUUGUGCUUGGACUUCGGCAUAUGUCA
rnacentral:lncRNA from 1 species